UACGGAGGGGGCGAGCGUUAUUCGGAAUUAUUGGGCGUAAAGGGCGCGUAGGCGGCCUGGCAAGUCAAAGGUGAAAUCCCUCGGCUCAACCGAGGAAUGGCCUUUGAAACUGCCUGGCUAGAGUCCGGGAGGGGGUAGCGGAAUUCCCAGUGUAGCGGUGAAAUGCGUAGAUACUGGGAGGAACACCAGUGGCGAAGGCGGCUACCUGGACCGGUUCUGACGCUGAUGCGCGAAAGCGUGGGGAGCAAACAGG
rnacentral:rRNA from 1 species